GGACAGUUAGUUUACUUGGUUAGAACGCAUCCGCACGGAUGAAAAGAUGGUUCGAAUCCUUCACUGUCCA
rnacentral:tRNA from 1 species